CUGGCGGCAGGCCUAACACAUGCAAGUCGAGCGGUAGCACAGAGAGCUUGCUCUCGGGUGACGAGCGGCGGACGGGUGAGUAAUGUCUGGGAAACUGCCUGAUGGAGGGGGAUAACUACUGGAAACGGUAGCUAAUACCGCAUAACGUCGCAAGACCAAAGUGGGGGACCUUCGGGCCUCAUGCCAUCAGAUGUGCCCAGAUGGGAUUAGCUAGUAGGUGGGGUAACGGCUCACCUAGGCGACGAUCCCUAGCUGGUCUGAGAGGAUGACCAGCCACACUGGAACUGAGACACGGUCCAGACUCCUACGGGAGGCAGCAGUGGGGAAUAUUGCACAAUGGGCGCAAGCCUGAUGCAGCCAUGCCGCGUGUGUGAAGAAGGCCUUCGGGUUGUAAAGCACUUUCAGCGGGGAGGAAGGCGUUGAGGUUAAUAACCUUGGCGAUUGACGUUACCCGCAGAAGAAGCACCGGCUAACUCCGUGCCAGCAGCCGCGGUAAUACGGAGGGUGCAAGCGUUAAUCGGAAUUACUGGGCGUAAAGCGCACGCAGGCGGUCUGUCAAGUCGGAUGUGAAAUCCCCGGGCUCAACCUGGGAACUGCAUUCGAAACUGGCAGGCUAGAGUCUUGUAGAGGGGGGUAGAAUUCCAGGUGUAGCGGUGAAAUGCGUAGAGAUCUGGAGGAAUACCGGUGGCGAAGGCGGCCCCCUGGACAAAGACUGACGCUCAGGUGCGAAAGCGUGGGGAGCAAACAGGAUUAGAUACCCUGGUAGUCCACGCCGUAAACGAUGUCGAUUUGGAGGUUGUGCCCUUGAGGCGUGGCUUCCGGAGCUAACGCGUUAAAUCGACCGCCUGGGGAGUACGGCCGCAAGGUUAAAACUCAAAUGAAUUGACGGGGGCCCGCACAAGCGGUGGAGCAUGUGGUUUAAUUCGAUGCAACGCGAAGAACCUUACCUGGUCUUGAC
rnacentral:rRNA from 1 species